rnacentral:tRNA from 1 species
CAAGAGAUAGUUUAAUAAAAUUUAAGCUUUGGAAGUUUAAGAUAAAGAUUUCUUUUUUCUUGA